CACACUAGAAACGGACUGAAAAGCUAACUGUGAGGUAGCUAAAUGCUUCUUAUUUCAGAAGUGCAUAUCCCAAUUUUUAAAGAAAGUGUAGAAGAAUAAAAAAUAUGCUAUCAUAUAGCUAACCAGCUAACAUUGUACUACGGAUUAAUAGUUAUCAGUUUCUUUAUUGUAUUAACUAAUUUACAUAGCUAAGCGAGCUAUUUUUCCUGUGUAAGGACUAGAGAAUGUGGUGUCAGGAAAAUAACCUCACACUCAACGUCAACAAAACUAAGGAGAUGAUUGUGGACUUCAGGAAACAGCAGAGGGAACACCCCCCUAUCCACAUCGAUGGAACAGUAGUGGAGAGGGUAGUAAGUUUUAAGUUCCUCGGCGUACACAUCACAGACAAACUGAAUUUGUCUAGUUAUUUUAGCCACAUAAAAAGACACCAACCGUUUGUACUCUGGUUUUCAGAACACUCUCGUCUGAGUGUGCCAAAGUAACUGCUGAAUUUACAAACGUUGAAUAUGGAUGGUGUCAGUAAAAAAAAAAAAGAGGAAUUAAAUUGUUGCCAGCAGUACAGUUUCUGCUCCGAGAGCGACACGUUUUGAAUUUACGAACAGAAAAUCUGUUCGGUUGCCGUCAUCAACGCUUUGGAUAACAUAACAGCCUAACCAGCUCGGCUAGGGUGAGUAAUGUUGAGUGAGCUGUUCUGUCAUUUGUGUCUGGAAGUAGCUAGCAAGCUAAUGUUAGUACAGAAUGGUCUGAUCAACCUUUAAAGAGAUGAAAUCCUAAAUCCUAAGAGGGUGUGAACAAUGCUGAAUGGGUGUAGACAAAAAGGGCUCUCCAGUAGUAGUGCCGAAAGGACAUUUUUUCAGAAGUGAGUUUACAAGUUUAUCAACUUUCUAAGCAGAAUGACUUUCCCAUUGUUCCUCAACUGUAGUGUAUGAUAUACCAUUUUGUAGCUCUGAGUCUCUACUUUCAGCCAAUGGAAAAAAAACACAAAAUGUUUUGCUACAUAAGACGGUCGGUCGGUCACAUAUGUGUAUUGCUGUUGUCGUUUUGGUUGGUCUUGUUUUUGUCUUUGCUUCACUAACGGAUCUCACCAGAUUGGGUCUGCUGUAUGGUCGGGGUGUCUCCCUAAGGAUUGUCCCUCUAACUCCCUGACCCGGUAUCUCUGCGGUUAUGGUGAUGGUGUCGAGAUGGAAGGAAUAAUUCGACCAAGAACAGUGUGAACCUCAACCUCCCCCCUAACUGGCUGAAGUAAUUGUGAAAAUGGCGUUCGCUACGGCCCUGUCCUGCACCACUUCUACUGUGAGACCCGAGUCCGAGUCAGCAACCCGUACACAGCAUCCAGUCAAAGCUAUCAACUGCCUUUUCUCUCAGGAGUGCGACAUGAGUCCACGUGAAGUGAGCAUGGAGAGAGAUCCCAUCCAAACUUGCUGGUGCAUUGGUAGGAAAAUGGACAAAACAUAAUGGACUGUAAAGGACAGUGGUGGCUCAGGUGAGAGACAUUAUCUAGGGUCAUCCAAUUUGAACAUGUGCCAUU